AAAGAGGUGGGUGUAAGGGAGGCACUAGUGUAGCCCACCAUUUGCCCAUCAUCUGCCAACCCGGGAUGUAGCACUGUUCACACCUGCUGCAAACCUCCUAGAGUCUCAUACAAUUGUGUACAGUUUGGAAGGAAGCUCUCUGUGCCAGCCCAUACCCUCCUGUGGGCACUGCACCUUUAAAAUCCCCUGUGUGUCAUUAUCACCAGCUCGUAUAUUCCCCUUAAGUCUAUGUCAUAUAGGAGUCCUAAUUGGUGCCAGUCUGUGUGCCCCUCUUGUCUCUGUUUUCGGAAACCCUAUGUGCACUUUAAGGAUGUCCAUCACCCCUCCUGCAUUCUGACCCACUUAAUGAAAUUCACUGACUCUAGUGACAAGGUGCCCAAUUCUCUGGCACUGGGCAGUUUUGUAUGUAUGGGCAGCAUGCCAGUUCUCACCCCCCCCCCUUCUCAUUUGCCACCUGUGAGUUACCUGGGGGGCAGUGACUCUUAGUUCAUUUCUUCUUUCUAAGGUGGCACCCCUUAGAUGAAAAAAAAAUGUGCUGCACCUCAGUGUCCUAUAAAGCCACUAUGACACCAAAAUCUGUCACAAAUGUCCUCCGGUCUAUGCUGGCGGGUACAUAUCGACCCACUGGGCCAGUCUUGGAGCUUGAGGAGACAGGGAAAGCUGGUUUGAUUAGGGGGAGAAGAACAGUUGGCAAGGAAAAGGAGCACAAAAUGAAGAAGUGAAAGUGCAAAGGGUGACAGGGAAGGGACAAAAAAUUGAGGAGAAGGGGAGGGGGAAUGAGAAAAAGAUGAAAAGGGAGGAAGAGGAGGAGCAAAUAGCCAGCCAGGGGGCAUCAGCAGGUGGUGACUCUAGGGGCCCAAAAUUUUCAUCUGUCUUCAUAACCGGAAAGUAAGUGGAAUCAAGUGGGAUGUCACUUGGGGUGCCCAGGAGGUCCUUUACUUCUUGUUCCUUCUUUACUUUUAUCCACCUGUGACAUCCACAAUGUGAUUUGUGACAGCCCUGCCACUGCCAGCACAUUAAACUGCCCCAAAAUAACCUGUGCUCAUGAAUGGCAGAAUAAUAAUAAAAAAAACAAA